ensembl:lncRNA
GGCUGUGCGUCCAAACUGGGUCACCAAGGAGGUUCUGCUAAUCUGUCACUCAGACACUCCAUUAAAAAACAUGCCUUCCAGAACCACGCAGCCGUAGGAAGAGGGGUGGAAAACUUCAUACAAUUGUCGUCCUUAUGAUGCAGAUGGAACGGGGCAUCAUAGUCUCCGGUGAGCCAGGGCACAGCCGGUGCAACAGCAGAAAGAAGGGCAGACGCGGACACACUCCGUUCUGCCCAGCGUGGGCCAUGGCCAAUGCUGCCUGGUGAUGCCGUGAGCCCAAGAACGAGGUCAGCUGCACUGUGGACGGGACUUUCUCAGGAAAGGAAGCACUGCGUCGGUCUGCAUUAGCCGCUAAGGCUGUAGAUCAGCGCGCGGAGAAGCACGGAUACAAAUUAUACUUCGUUAUCAUCCAAAGCAGUCCGGGCCGUGCACCAAAGGGUAAAGCUUUCAUCGCUCUUUGCUUUGUUCCUGGGUUCUGGUCAGUUGAGGUCCGCCGGAGACUCGUGACUUAACGUGAGCAGGACUAAGCCAGCCAGCAAGAGACAGUGGAGCCCCUGGGGGUGUCCAUGGCCCCGAGUCAGGUGCAGGGACCCCUAGGGUAGGUGAGAACUGGGGCUGGAGAAGAUGGGCCACAUCGAUCCGGCCAGUGGCUGUGGGCCCAGGAGGGACGCCACUGUCACCAGCAAGCCAGCAGCCAUGGGGAAGGGAGCACUCAAAGCAGAAAAUAUGGAGCAGUGGUACAACCUUUAACUUCAAGGCUGAGACUGAGUGGGACCCACGAACAGAGAAGGGACUGACGCACGAGCAGGUGCCCCAAGUUACAGGUGAAGGUCGCUUAACAAACGAGGAACAUCUAUGUUCAGUAACGCAGGCCUGUCUGAAAGUGACCUUGGUCUCCACAGCACAGUUUCCUUUACAAGAGCCAAGUUAAGAUACACUGGCUGUGUUGUGUGCCCCGGCAGCUGUGUGGGGCACAGCGGGGUGGGGGAGUCGUGAGCGGGAGCACUGGCCUGGGGUCUGCAUGACUGAAGUGGCAUAAAAGACUGAUGGGAGACAGCCCCCUGGCAUCCACGUGCCCAGGGGACCUACAUGCUCACUGGCUCUUCUGGGUGAGCGAUACAUGUUCUAUCGGAGAAGGGAUGGGAGACGUCCAGGAUCAGGUGGCUGGCGAGCUCCCUGCAUCCUGGGGUAAAGCUUAACACGUGCAGCAUUAGCUUAAAACCUGUUUGGGUCACAUAAGUCCAGUGGCCACAAUAACCCAGAACCACAGCUGUCCUGCCAUGAUGUGGAGUCAGAAAUUGGAUUUGGCUUUCAGACCCUUGAUUCUGUGUGACCAGUCACAAUGGUGCAGCAGAAGGGACAGUGGCAGGAGGGCAGGGAGGCCAUGUCCAUGCUUCAGGGCCAACCACCCCCCUCUGGUUUGAGAUAAAGAAAUGUCUGCGGGAAAUAACAGCAGAUAAAUACAACUUGUGAAAUCGGGUGACUUCAUCUUGUCCCCUCAGAACUUGCAAAGUCCAGGAGAAAGACAGGGGACAAUAGCUAAAGAGAUUAUUUUGUGUUUGUUUGUAUUAUCUACCUUAAGGAGACAAAGUGUUUGGGAGAGAAAGAGAGAAGCCGAAGCAGCAAUGCGUCCAGUGUUUGUCACACAACAUUCGACAUCAUGCACCCAGGGUCCUGUUGAGGACCUGAAAACCGUUACUUUGAUCACUAUGGCACCAUUUGGUGACUGUUCACCAUGAAAAUGUGGUUCUGAGGCCAGGUGACGAUGGGCAUUUCACCCCAGAGACCAGAGGCUAUGGUGCAAAGAUCACUUCAUUGAGAAGGUCCUCCAGAUGCUGAGAAGUCCAUUCUUGAAUUUCAGAUAAAAUUUCUAGGGGCUAAUAUUUGUUUGUGGACACAGCAGAGUGGAAAGGAAUGUUCGGUAUUAGUGAUAAUUCAAAACUUGCUACAGGGUUUGACAUUCAGAAAUUAUCAUCAGUGACAUGAGCAGUCACCAUUUUGUCAAAGGAGGAGAUGGAGUGAAGUUAGUCUUUGCAAAGGAGAAAAUAGCCCUCUUCCUCCUUGGCUGUGAAGUGGCCUAUUUCUCAAAAGUUGUGAGAAUAAAGAUAUUACUUACAGACA